CCCUUAGAUGUUCUGGGCCGCACGCGCGCUACACUGAUGCAUUCAACGAGCCUAUCCUUGACCGACAGGUCCGGGUAAUCUUUGAAUCUGCAUCGUGACGGGGAUAGAUUAUUGCAAUUAUUAAUCUUCAACGAGGAAUGCCUAGUAGGCGCAAGUCAUCAGCUUGCGUUGAUUACGUCCCUGCCCUUUGUACACACCGCCCGUCGCUCCUACCGAUUGAAUGUUCCGGUGAGCUCUUCGGACUGCGCGGUCUGCAGUUUCUGCGUUCCGUGCGGAAAGUUGCGCAAACCUUAACAUUUAGAGGAAGGAGAAGUCGUAACA
rnacentral:rRNA from 1 species